CCUACGGGUGGCAGCAGUGGGGAAUAUUGCACAAUGGGCGAAAGCCUGAUGCAGCAACGCCGCGUGAGCGAUGAAGGCCUUCGGGUCGUAAAGCUCUGUCCUCAAGGAAGAGAAUGACGGUACGUGAGGAGGAAGCCCCGGCUAACUACGUGCCAGCAGCCGCGGUAAUACGGAGGGGGCAAGCGUUAUCCGGAAUUACUGGGCGGAAAGGGUGUGGAGGUGGUUUCUUAAGGCAGAGGUGAAAGGCUACGGCUCAACCGUAGUCAGCCUUUGAAACUGGGAAUCUUGAGUGCAGGAGAGGUGAGUGGAAUUCCUGGUGUAGCGGUGAAAUGCGUAGAUAUUAGGAGGAACACCAGUUGCGAAGGCGGCUCUCUGGACUGUAACUGACGCUCAGGCACGAAAGCGUGGGUAGCAAACAGGAUUAGAUACCCCUGUAGUC
rnacentral:rRNA from 1 species